UACGUAGGGUGCGAGCGUUGUCCGGAAUUAUUGGGCGUAAAGAGCUCGUAGGCGGUCUGUCGCGUCGGCUGUGAAAACUCGGGGCUCAACCCCGAGCCUGCAGCCGAUACGGGCAGACUAGAGUUCGGUAGGGGAGACUGGAAUUCCUGGUGUAGCGGUGAAAUGCGCAGAUAUCAGGAGGAACACCGGUGGCGAAGGCGGGUCUCUGGGCCGAUACUGACGCUGAGGAGCGAAAGCGUGGGGAGCGAACAGG
rnacentral:rRNA from 1 species